AUGAACAAGGAGAAGCAUCACAGGAACGAGCACCUCCUCCGGCGCUGCUGCGGCGGCUUCGCGGCGUGCCUCCUGGCGCUGGUCGUCGUCGUCGCAUUCAUCGCGCUCGUCGUCUACCUUGCGCUCCGCCCGACCAAGCCUUCCUUCUACUUGCAGGACCUGCAGCUCCACUCCAUCAACCUCGGGGACCCCUCCCUUUCUGCCACCGCGCAGGUCACGCUCGCCUCCCGCAACCCCAAUGACCGCGUCGGCAUCUUCUACAGGCGCCUCGACGUCUUCGUCACCUACCGCGACGAGCCCGUCACCGUGCCGAUCUCCCUGCCGCCCAUGUACCAGGGCCACCGGGACGUCACCAUUUGGUCCCCCGUGCUGUCCGGGGAGUCCGUGCCCGUGGCCGGAUACGUCGCCGAGGCAAUGAAGCAGGACAUCGCCUCCGGGUACGUGUCGCUGCAGGUCAAGAUCGACGGCCGCGUCAAGUGGAAGGUCGGGACCUGGGUCUCCGGCAGCUACCACCUCUUCGUCAGCUGCCCCGCCAUGCUCGCCGCCGGCCCCGGCGGCAUGCCGCUCGGGGGUGGCCCCAACGGCACCGGGGGCGCCGUCGCGUCACUGAAAUUCACGCAGCCGACAGGGUGCACCGUCGGGACGUGA
rnacentral:rRNA from 1 species